CAUGUUUCCAGUCCAUCCUUCUUUCAAUCCCCAUUAUCAAUUGCAGAAAUUCUUAUUAUCUUCUCCUAUUUCUUAGAUUUAGGGUUUUCAAUGGAGAUUUAUAUACCUGGAAAUUCAGAAGAUGUAGGAGGUGGAUUCCAUCUCUGACAUGUAUCGAUCUAGGGUUUUUUUCAUCCAUUGCUCUACAGUCUUUGAUUGCUACCUAAACCGAUUGGAGACAGUAAGGCUAUUGAGAUUCCGUAAUCAGGGUUUUCACUUGGAACAACGGUGGUGGCGUUAUUGUGGCUAUAAGGUGGUUAGCGGCGGCAAGGAUCCAAAUCCCGAUUUAAAAAUAUGUCCCAUUAGGUGAAAUCUUGACAUUUGGUGAUGAUAGCUUUAUAAAGUAUAAGGAGACUCGUGUCAAGCAAGUGCAAAAUUUUGAAAUUGUUCUUGUGGCAGGAGGGCUUGGGGAACAUCUUGGAUACAAUGGAAUAAAGUUUACAACUGCUAUUACGAAUCAGAUAUGGAAUGAGGUUGACUAUCGGAUAUCGGGAUCACGGGAUGUAACUAAUAUAUAUGAUUUUAAUACUGUACCUUUAUUGUAUUCUUAUAUAUUUAUAUAUUUUUCGAACUGAAUGAUGUAUUUUGUGCUUUUUAUUAUUAUACUUGCAAUGUGUUUAAUACUGUACCUUUUUGUUUCUAUGAAAUUUUAAUAUUUUGACUUUUACUUUGACUCUAGCUGUCUCUUUCAAACUGUAAAAUCCAAGGCGUCGAUUCUUCAAUCAAAUCAUGUAUGGGGUUAAGAGAACGAAGGCUUUCUCAUAAUGAGAUUCGGGUCAUCAAUUAUAUAUACUAUGUGGUGAUGACGACAACAAACUUAUGGAAAAAAUCGAGAGACACUUUCAUGGUGUUACCGAGGUAAAU